CUUGAGUUCCCUCUCUCGCUGUGUCUCUAGGUAUUUACCAUCUAGGUAAAUCCUAGAUGGCUGAGUCAUAUGGUGAUCUUGUUUUACAUUUUGAGUAGGGAAUAUAUACUUAAGAUAUACCCCCUCAGGUGUACAAAAUGUAUAUAAAAAUAUAU